rnacentral:tRNA from 1 species
GAGCCCGUGGCUUAGUCUGGUUAGGGCGUCACGUUUACACCGUGAAGAUCGCCGGUUCGAAUCCGGCCGGGCUCA